AUUGAACGCUGGCGGCAGGCCUCACACAUGCUAGUCGAACGAGUGGCGGACGGGUGAGUAAUGUCUGGGAAACUGCCCGAUGGAGGGGGAUCACCACUGGAAACGGUAUCUAAUACCGCAUACCAUCGGAUGUGCCCAGAUGGGAUUAGCGAGUAGGAGGGGUAACGGCUCACCUAGGCGACGAUCCCUAGCUGGUCUGAGAGGAGGACCAGCCACACUGGAACUGAGACACGGCACAGACUCCUACGGGAGGCAGCAGUGGGGAAUAUGGCACAAUGGGCGCAAGCCUGAUGCAGCCAUGCCGCGUGUAUGAAGAAGGCCUUAGGGUUGUAAAGUACUUUCAGCGGGGAGGCGUUACUCGCAGAAGAAGCACCGGCUAACUCCGUGCCAGCAGCCGCGGUAAUUC
rnacentral:rRNA from 1 species